rnacentral:SRP_RNA from 1 species
GCUGGGCAUGGUGGCACAUGCCUGUAAUCCCAGCUACUUGGGAAGCUGAGACAGGAGAAUUGCUUGAACCCUGGAGGUGGAUGUUGCAGUGAGCAGAGAUAGCGCCACUGCACUCCAGCCUGGGAGACAUAGCAAGACCCUGUCUCAA